GCGGCGAGGGGGGAAGAUGAGAGAGGUGCUAGGGGAGGGGAAGGGAGGGUGGGGUGGAACAGCUCGGAACUAGACCGGCCUAGAACGGUUAGGUGUUUGCCUAGACCGGAUUGGUAGGGCGUCGACGCGGCCGCCCGGUGGUCCUGCCGCCGCUCUUGGUGGUUGGGUAGAACUCUGGAGUUGCUGCCGCCCAUGGUUCUUAGCUACGACGUGGUUGGCGCGCGCAGUGUUCCUCCCACCCACACCAACGACGGCCUCGUCACUUGAGACGCGAACCGCGACCUGGUCGCCCCCGACCCAACCGGCACUGCGAACUAACCCAGCAAAGGUUGACGGGGCCGCAGCCGCCGCUGCUCUGCCACGACGGAGUGACAGCAGUAGCGAAAACUAAAGUCGUAGCCGGCCACGGUCGCAGGUACUGUAUUAAAUAGUUACCACCCAAGUCAUCAUUGAGUUUAGACAACGAAACAUACACGGUCGCACACUACCUUAAAUAGUAACCACCCAGACCAUCAUUGAGUUUAGACGACGAUACAACAAAAGUCGGACGACGACUCGAGAGAAAUGAAACCCGUGACAAAUGGCCGUAGAGUUAGGGCUGGAUCGUCCAGACGAAUGGUCGUAGUUCUCGACCUUGUACGUGUAAUUGAGCAACUGUACAAACCCGGUUUUUUAUACCUUGUACCUCCCACAGAACAGGACUCUGGACUCAGUAAGUGUACAUAGCGUUACGAAAGGGAAUGGAGACCACGUAGUACGUUUACUAUAAGACGUUAGGUCUUCUUGAUCGAUGAGUUUUCACCUACUGUCACUUGUACUCUUCGAUACCAAAGGACUAAACAUCAAUACACAUCACAACAGUACUUCGUACCACCAAUACCGAAACACAUUUUAGUAAUAUUUAUAACAUGGAGAAAUCUCCUCAACUUACAACUUGAUACAUACACUAAGCACAUGGACUUCAUAGGUGGUACUACAGAUAACGACUUUACUUAGAUUGUUAAAUGACUAUUAUAAUCAAAUACCG
rnacentral:rRNA from 1 species